rnacentral:rRNA from 1 species
CACGUAGGGCGCGAGCGUUGUCCGGAAUUAUUGGGCGUAAAGAGCUCGUAGGCGGCCUGUUGCGUCCGCUGUGAAAGCCCGGGGCUUAACCCCGGGUCGGCAGUGGAUACGGGCAGGCUAGAGGUAGGUAGGGGAGAAUGGAAUUCCCGGUGUAGCGGUGAAAUGCGCAGAUAUCGGGAGGAACACCGGUGGUGAAGGCGGUUCUCUGGGCCUUACCUGACGCUGAGGAGCGAAAGCGUGGGGAGCGAACAGG